UUACGGUCAAAUCACGCUGAAAACACCGGUUCUCGUUCGAUCACCGAAGUUAAGCAUCGUAGAGCCAGGUCAGUACUUAGAUGGGGAACACCUGGUACUGUA